rnacentral:rRNA from 1 species
GAUGAACGCUGGCGGCGUGCCUAAUACAUGCAAGUCGAGCGAACAGAUAAGGAGCUUGCUCCUUUGACGUUAGCGGCGGACGGGUUAGUAACACGUGGGUAACCUACCUAUAAGACUGGAAUAACUCCGGGAAACCGGGGCUAAUGCCGGAUAACAUUUAGAACCGCAUGGUUCUAAAGUGAAAGAUGGUUUUGCUAUCACUUAUAGAUGGACCCUCGCCGUAUUAGCUAGUUGGUAAGGUAACGGCUUACCAAGGCAACGAUACGUAGCCGACCUGAGAGGGUGAUCGGCCACACUGGAACUGAGACACGGUCCAGACUCCUACGGGAGGCAGCAGUAGGGAAUCUUCCGCAAUGGGCGAAAGCCUGACGGAGCAACGCCGCGUGAGUGAUGAAGGUCUUCGGAUCGUAAAACUCUGUUAUUAGGGAAGAACAAAUGUGUAAGUAACUGUGCUCGUCUUGACGGUACCUAAUCAGAAAGCCACGGCUAACUACGUG